CUUUCCGGCCGGACUGCCGCGCCUGUGGCCGGAAGAGCCAGCUAGACCAGAGAGUCUGUACCUGCAACCCUGGCGGCGUCCGAGCCCAAGGCGGAGUCUGGGAGACAAAGAAGUCCUCGCCGCCGGCCGCUGGAGGAUUCUGCCAGUAGUGAAAGAUGGGGUCUCGUUAUGUUGACCAGGCUGGUCUUGAACACCUGACCUGAAGUGAUCCUCUUGCCUCAGCCUCCCAUAGUGCUGCGAUCACAGGUGUGCAUGCCUUCCUUAUUUCUCAUACUCAUCACCUCCUCUUCCCGCUUGGAACUGCCCACACUGGUGAUUUCCUUGUUAAGGAACUUGAUGGCGUUGUGCAUGCUCGCUGACAGGGGACGGCACUGAGUCAGGAAGCUAUAAUACAACAGCAAUACCUUAUAUCUGCGCAACUCUUCACAACUUACAAAGCCUUCACAU
rnacentral:lncRNA from 10 species